ACGACAGAGAUGAUUGGGUAAGCGCACUGGCCCAGGACAUCACUGCUGUUGCCGUGAACGACUUCUGAAUUGUCUUGGCAUCAUUGCGUCACUUCCUUAGAAUUCAAGCACUUGGCCGCAGCAUCUAGAUGGCAGAGCUUGGAUCACUUGCUUGGGCUCUGGCUGAUGGAGUGGGAGUCCGAUCUCCCCACUUUCGUUUCCACAGCGGGAGGCAGGGCACUGAAUCCUGAUGGUGCCAGAGAGUUUGCAGAGGCAGAGGGAAGUUUGCCCAAACAUCUGAUCAAUUCUGAAUACAGCAGCCUUCCUGAGCUGCUCUCCUAUUUUCAACGCACCCCAAAGAGCCCCUGAUGAUUCAAUUGGAUCCUGCUGAAACCACAGUAAGGGCUCUUGCCCACAUCCUGCCCACUCCCUCCACUCCCUCUUCCUCCUGAGGAACCUUGGUGAUUCCCUGUGCGCCCACUACCCCAUGCGUGACGUGUCCCCUCCACUUGUGAACCCUGACUAAUAAACCAUCUUUCCAAUGGC